AUGCUUCUACUUUCUGUAUGGAGCUGGGAGCGUCUGCCUGUUGGACGCCCGAAGAGCGUCAGGUUUAAUCCUUGGUAUGAAGAUGAACAUGACGAAUUACGGUGCCCCACUUGGGCUUACAAGUGGGAUGUGGUUUCCGAGAUGACGAACGAUGUCAAUCUCAUGUACCAGAAGUACGUUGCCGAGUUGGACACGAUUACGCCUGAGCAGGUAACGAGGUCAUUACUUCAGUCAUUUCUCAUGUUUGGCAAAAAAAGUCACCAAUUUUGCAUUGUUGCCCUAUUUCAUAGGUGGAAUGGCAGCCAUAUGGCGCCGAUGACAGACUUGGGUACACCCCGGAGUUUAGAAUCAACCCGAUGUGCUUCCGGGAUAGGGAUCUCUGGCUUAUGCGGUGCCCACUGA
rnacentral:rRNA from 1 species